rnacentral:lncRNA from 1 species
AUUGAAUUGUCGCAUCAUAGAUAAGAAGUACAACAUGAUGUUCCCUCUUUCUUGUUGCCGCUAGUCCCUUCUUUUGAGAGUUAGCUUCAUGCUCGUCCUUCUCGUCUUUGAAAAUGGUACUUGUUGGGAACCAUGGUAUUCUUUCAUAUAAAUUAAAGGAAUUUAGCGUUCUCUACGUAAUAAAAUUUAUGGACUUGGAUUGAGGGACAAUUAUUUCAGAAAUAUAAAGACAAGAUGAUAAGAAAAAUUUGCUAAAUGAUUGAAGGGAAAGUGAAACAAAAUUGUAUUGAAUCACAUUGCUAUGGAAUGUACAAAUGGCUAGCGUAUAUACACAUGCUAUAUACAUAACAAAAAUACAACAAAUUUCCUAACUAAUACAUAAUUCCUCCUCCUCUUCUUCUAGAGAAUUCUUAUUCUAUUGUUGCUGGGUUGUUGCCCAUUGCUGAUGUGUCUUGGCUUCCUUCCACUGUUGACUGUGUUGUUGACUCCUCAAAGCAGUUGCUUGCUGGUUUUCUAAUUCAGCAACUUUGUUAACUUUCAAUAGCGCCCCGCAAGAUGAAGAGUAUAUGUCCAUUAGUUCCUUCUUGAGCGUACAUAAGUAAAAGCUUUGUGAGUUUAAGGCUUUGGUUAGAAUGUUUGCAAUUUGUGACUUGCUAGGAACGUGCUUAGUAACAAUGUAUCCAUCUUGAAUUUUAUCACGAAUUAAAUAACAAUCAAGCUCUAUAUGUUUGGUCCUUUUCGUGAAAAACUGGGUUGGUGGCUAUAUGAAUAGUUGACUUGUCACAAUAAAGAAAAGCAGCUUGGGGAUGAGCUAUCUUUAGAUCUUCUAAUUAGCAUUUGAACCAUGUCAAUUCACAACGUAAAUUGGCCAUAGCUCCAUAUUCUGCAUCCAAAGAUGAUCUUGAAACAACAUGUUGUUUCUUCGAUUUCCAAGAGACCAGUGAUUACCAAUUAACAUACAAUAACCUGUUACUAAUCGACUGGUAUUAGGACACCCCAAUUUAAAUCGUUAUACCCAUGUAAUUGUAAUUGUAACAUCGAAUAUGUUGGACAGAAUACUCCUUAACUUGGGUUUGAUAUAUCUCAGGACUUUGUGUGCUGCGUACAGAUCUAGAACUCAAGGGCUUUCCAUAAAUUGGCUUAACAAUUGAAUUGAAUAAGAGAUAUUAGGUCUAGUUAUUGUUAGGUACAAUAAUAUGCCAACCAAAUUUCUAUAAAGUACUAGUUCAGGGAGUGAUUCUUCUUCAUCUUUGAUCUUCACAAUUUGGUCCAAUUGUAUCUUUGCAGGGGUUGAACCAAUUGUCCCUGAGUCGUUCAAGAUGUAAAGAGUAUACUUCAUUUGGUAUAUGCAAAUGCCUUCUGUAGACCUGGCCACCUCCAUGCCAAGAAGUACUUUAGUUUACCAAGAUCCUUGAUCCUAAGCUUGUCAUGAAGUUUUGUGGUGGUUAAUCAUAUCAAUGCAAUUUCCUGCACAAUUAUAUCAUCAACAUAUGUAGGAUAGCAGUAAAAGAAUCAUCAUUACUUUUAGUGAAUAAACUGUAAUUUGCCCUUGAUUGAACGUGCCCCUUUUUAAUAAUAAAUUUGGAAAGUUUGGCAUACCAUUGGCAUGAUGCUUACUUCAAAUCAUAGACUCUUUUUAAGCUUACAAAUUUUCUUCUUGGUGUCAGGGUUAAAGUAACCCGAAAGAAUCUCCAUAUACACAUCUUCAAAUUCACCAUGUAAAAAGGCUUUAUUGACAUCAAACUGGAAAAGAUCCCAUCCUCUUAUGGCUGCCACUGUUAGCAAUGUUCUAACUGUGACAAGUUUGGCAACAGGUGAGCAUGUCUCGUGAUAAUCAAAUCCUUUGUUGUGUAUACCCUUUAGCAACAAGUCUUGCUUUGAAUCUUUCUAUGCCACCAUCAAUAUUGAGCUUGACCUUGUAUACCCAUCUACAGGCUAUUGCUUCCUUGCCAGGAAGUAGGUCAACUAAAACCCAAGUGUCAUUAAGUUCAAGGGCUUCAAUCUCAGCUUUCAUAUCUGCACACCACUCGGGAAUUUUUGGCAUCUUGAUAGUUCUAGGUUCAGAUUGAGAAGUGACAGGUAGCAAAGGUUUUAUGUGAAUCCGAUAACUUCUCAUAGGAAACACUAGCAUUGAGAGGAUAGUGAUUACCUGAAGAGCUUUUAGCUUGUCCAACUUUUAAGAUGGGUAAAGAGAGGUAGCAUGACAUACGAAGUCCUGGAGAUGUGCUGGUAUUUUUCUGAUUCUUAUUGACCUGCGAGGCAAAUGAAUAACAGGAGUUGUAUUUGAUGAUGAAUCAAAGUCAUGGAGGUCUAGAUGAUCAGUGUUAGUGUCAAUCUGAGAUUUAUCGUGAUUAGAAUUUUGUGAAAAUUCUUCCAUGAGC